UAGCUAGCUCCUCAUAACAGGUCUAACUGGCUCUGGACAGCUAAGGGCUGCGCUGGAACACAGCAGAGAAGUGACUCUACACAACAUUGCAUAUCUACAGUUACUUUGCCUGCAAAGACCAGAGAGGGGAAAAAAAUCCCAGCUUCAUCAUCUCGGGGAGGGAGGACAGGUGGUCUGGCACAGACCGAGUGAGUCUGAGGCUGGAGCGUAGACUCCUGGCCUGGCAGUCCCAGCAAGUACAGACCAGAGCCACUCCAGACACCAAAGGGCGAGCCUGCAGCCAAACCCUGAGGGAGAAGAAAACUGCUUCGUUGGUGACCAAGUAUAAAGGAUACUAAUGGAAGAGACACUUGCAUGCUUUUGGUCUGUUACAGAUAAUCGACUGAAUUCAACUGGAGAUGCAAAAAUAGAAAGAAAGGAGCAAAAUACAGAGAACAGAAAAAUAUAUCCAUGGGCAAUUCCUUCCUAGGACUUGUUCUUUGACUUGUCCAACUUGUGACUAUCCAGAAAAUAGUAUUUCGAUGUUUAAAUAUUUUUUCUAAAUAUUUAAUUAAACUUUUGACAGUGCUGCUGCCUAUUGUAAGUCUGAGAGAACAGAAAUUUCUAAGUAGGGGGUGUUAAAACUGUUGUCCCUUUGACUCAACGGAAAUAUAAAUUAGCUUGAAAUGAAAAAGACAUAACUCUCUUUUGUUGUUGUAGUUGGUUUUGUUUUUGUUGUUUGAGAAAGGCUUUCUCUGUGCAGUCCUGGAAGUCCAGGAUCUCACUGUGUAGAUCAUGCUGGCCUGGAAUGCAACUUAAGGUUGUUGAAUCCUCCAUUCAAACUCUCUGAUUUUACCUAGUAAUAAAAUCUAACUAAAUCCCUUUAA